rnacentral:rRNA from 1 species
UACGAAGGGAGCGAGCGUUGUUCGGAAUCACUGGGCUUAAAGCGUGCGUAGGUGGAUUGGUAAGUAAGGAGUGAAAUCCCAGGGCUUAACCCUGGAACUGCUCUUUAGACUGCCUGUCUGGAAUUCGGAAGAGGUUGGUGGAACUCCCAGUGUAGAGGUGAAAUUCGCAGAUAUUGGGAAGAACACCGGUGGCGAAGGCGACCAACUGGUCCGACAUUGACACUGAGGCGCGAAAGCGUGGGGAGCAAACCGG